GUUUUGGAAAGUUUUUCAGGCAAUCCGGGACUCUGUGUUCCUACCUCUUUGAACUCAUCAGACAGAAGUUUUCAAACAUGUUCACAUAGCUAUAACCAUAAGAAGAGGAACAACAUUGCUUGGGUUAUUGGGACAUCAGUGGGGAUAGUCAUUGUUGGAUUAGUUUUGUUUAUCAAGCGAUGGUUUGGUAACAAAAAGGCGGUGAUGGAACAGGAUGAUCAUUCAUUGUCAUCAUCAUUUUUCUCCUAUGAUGUUAAGAGUUUCCAUCGAUUGAGCUUUGAUCAACGUGAGAUCUUUGAAGCUAUGGUUGAGAAGAACAUUGUUGGAUAUGGA
rnacentral:misc_RNA from 1 species